rnacentral:rRNA from 1 species
UUCGCAAUGCCCGAAAGGGUGAACGAGCGACGCCGCGUGCGGGAUGAAGGGUCUCGGCUUGUAAACCGCUUUUCUUUGGGAAGAAGGUCUGGCUCGUGCAGAUGGGCUCGACGGUACCAGAGGAAUAAGCCUCGGCUAACUCCGUGCCAGCAGCCGCAGUAAGACGGAGGAGGCAAGCGUUAUUCGGAAUCACUGGGCUUAAAGCGCGUGUAGGCGGAUGGGAACGUCGGUCUUUGAAAGCCCCCGGCUCAACCGGGGAAGCGGAGCCGAAACGACCGAUCUGGAGGGACGUAGGGGGACCUGGAACUUCCGGUGGAGCGGUGAAAUGCGUUGAGAUCGGAAGGAACGCCCGUGGCGAAAGCGAGGUCCUGGACGUCUGCUGACGCUGAGACGCGAAAGCUAGGGGAGCAAACGGGAUUAGAUACCCCGGUAGUCCUAGCCGUAAACGAUGGGCACUAAGUAGAGGGGUUUU